UGAGCAAUCUGCCCUUCUCUUCGGAAUAAGCGUUGGAAACGACGUCUAAUGCCGAAUACGACCUCCUUUCGCAUGAUCGGAGGUGGAAAGCUCCGGCGGAGAAGGAUGAGCUCGCGGCCUAUCAGCUAGUUGGUGCGGGUAAUGGCCCACCAAGGCGACGACGGGUAGCCGGCCUGAUAGGGUGACCGGCCACACUGGGACUGAGACACGGCCCAGACUCCUACGGGAGCAGCAGG
rnacentral:rRNA from 1 species